rnacentral:rRNA from 1 species
CCUACGGGGGGCAGCAGUGGGGAAUAUUGCACAAUGGGGGAAACCCUGAUGCAGCGACGCCGCGUGAGUGAAGAAGUAUUUCGGUAUGUAAAGCUCUAUCAGCAGGGAAGAAAAUGACGGUACCUGACUAAGAAGCCCCGGCUAACUACGUGCCAGCAGCCGCGGUAAUACGUAGGGGGCAAGCGUUAUCCGGAUUUACUGGGUGUAAAGGGAGCGUAGGUGGCAUGGUAAGCCAGAAGUGAAAACCCAGGGCUCAACUCUGUGGAUUGCUUUUGGAACUAUCAAGCUAGAGUGCUGGAGGGGUA